rnacentral:sRNA from 1 species
AGAUCGGCUCCGUGCAGUUGCCAGACCCCCGACCCGGCAACCGCACGGGGCCUUUCG